AGAAAAUAAUUCCCCGAAUUAAAUUUAAACAUAGAGCGUUUCAUACGAAGCGCCGUUAACCUCUAACAACGACAUACAUAUGCAAGAGAAAAAACACAGACAGUGUCAAAUGUUAAUAGAGCUUUGGUUUGGUCUCAAACCUCAACGGCUAUAAUAACGCUUCCUCUUCCAUUCCUAUUUCUCCAAAAAUCUUACACAAAUUAAUCACUUUUCUCGGAAGAGAAAAAAUCUCCCCCUCACAGAUUAUAGAUUCAUCACUUCUUUCUCGGAAUCGCUUCCAUUCUUAAGCUUUUCUAUCUCCUUCAUUCCCCUUUGGUUCUUUCCUUUCGGUUAGAAUCCCCUCUCGCUCGCUUUCAUUUCCUUCUUUCAUCCUUUCGAGAGCACCAACAUUUUUACACCAUACUUUUUCACAAUUCCUUUCUCGUUAUUAUCGCUUUUCAUUUUCACUUUCACUUUUGAUUAGGGUUUCGACUUUGAAAUAUUACUCGUUAAAUGUAGUAUUUCAUCCUGAAACUGUAUUGUUUUUUUUCUAGUAAGGGAAAAAAAGUAGUUUUUUUUAUUGUUGUUAAAAAAAAUUAAAAUUAGGGUUUCGACAUUGAAAUAUGUCGGUUGUUUUGAGUUCAAUUUCGAAAGAGAGGGUGUAUUGGGAGGGUCAACCAGAACAUUGUUCUGUUGAUCCAAUCCUGAUUUACCUUACUGUUGACAGUGUUGUUACCCCAAUGCGGGUUUUGGAGUCGGAUUCAAUUGCCUCGGUGAAAUUGAGGAUUCAGCAGUGUAAAGGUUUUGUGGUGAAGAAACAGAAGCUUGUUUUUGGUGGCAGAGAGCUUGCUCGGAACGAUACGCUUAUUAAGGAGUAUGGUGUUGCUGAAGGCAAUGUUCUUCAUUUGGUUUUACGCCUUUCGGAUCUUCUUUUCAUUGUUGUUAGGACAGUUUCUGGCAAGGAGUUUGAGUUUCAUGUUGAUAGGCAUAGGAAUGUGGGGUAUCUUAAACAAAGGAUUAGGAAAAAAGGGGAAGGUUUUAUUGAUCUUGAGGAACAAGAGCUUUUCUGUAAUGAAGAGAAGCUUGAUGAUCAGAUACUAUUUCAUGAUAUAUGUAAAGGGGGUGACGGUGUAGUUCAUUUGAUUAUUAAGAAAUCGGUUAAGGUUAGGGCUACGCCUAUUCUUAAUGAUUUGAAUCUUUCUCUUGAGGCUUUGAUACCGCGUGAGAGAAGUGAUCAAAGAGAGUUACAGUUACAAGUAGAAGAGAAUAAGAAUAGGAGCAAACCGAUUCAGAUAGCAAAGUUACCGCCCGGUGUUGGUUUCUGGUUGGAACCUAUUGCUGUGAAUCCCAAGAUCAGUUUUUUGCCUCUCCUUUGGGACAUGAUUAACUCCACAUACGAGGGUUUGAAGAAAGGAAAUCGUCCUAUUAGGUCCUCGGAAGGAACAGGAGGGACUUAUUUUAUGCAAAAUUCCACUGGCCAGGAGCGUGUUUCAGUUUUCAAGCCCUUGGAUGAGGAACCAAUGGCUGCGAACAACCCAAGAGGCUUACCAUGUUCAUUGAACGGCGAAGGUUUAAAAAGAGGAACAAGGGUGGGAGAAGGAGCUUUAAGGGAGGUUGCAGCUUAUGUGUUGGAUCAUCCAAGGAGCGGACCACGUUUGGUGUCUGGUGAAGAAAUCGGGUUUUCCGGUGUUCCUCCUACUGUUAUGGUGCAGUGCUUACACCAAGAAUUUCACCACCCAAAUGGGUACGCAUGCUCAUCAAAACACAUCAAGAUUGGAUCGUUACAGAAAUUUAUGAGUAAUGACGGAAACUGUGAGGACAUUGGACCCGGGGCCUUUCCCGUGGAGGAAGUGCAUAAGAUAUCUGUGCUUGAUAUAAGAAUGGCUAAUGCAGACAGACAUGCUGGGAAUAUUUUGUUCAGAAAGGAGGCAUCUGGCCAGAUUAAGCUCAUUCCCAUUGAUCAUGGCUAUUGUCUACCAGAUAAAUUUGAAGACUGCACAUUUGAUUGGCUUUACUGGCCGCAAGCACUCCAGCCUUACUCACCUGAGACAGUUGAGUAUAUCAAUUCUUUGGAUGCCGAAAAAGACAUUGAAAUUUUGAAAUAUUAUGGAUGGGAUAUUCCAAUUGAGUGCGCGCGAACACUUCGCAUUUCCACAAUGCUGCUCAAGAAAGGGGUUGAGAGAGGUUUUACUCCCUAUGCAAUUGGAAGCAUCAUGUGUCGGGAAAAUUUGAACAAGGAAUCUGUAAUUGAGGAAAUUAUAAGCGAAGCACAAGAUUCCUUGCUUCCUGGCACGGAGGAAUCAGCACUUCUUGAAUCCGUCUCGCAAAUCAUGGAUUCCCGUCUCGAUAAGCUUGCACAAUAGACAUUUUUCCUUUUCUGAUUUAUAUAUUGGUAUGGUAAUAUUUUUAUAUGUAAUGUAAUUCAGUGAAUGAUUCUAGUCCAUUUUUGGAUGGACUGCAUGCAAACUGCAGGUUUCACCAACAAAAUGUCAUAUGGCUUGAUGUGAUCUGGACAUAAGGCCUGAAGCUCUGUUUAUUUCUGGCUUCUCUGAACUGUUUUCAGGAUUGUAUUGUCAUGUUCAACAGAAAUUAAAAGCCAAAAUUUGGAAAAAGAUAGUAAUAGCAGCAAUGUGGUAAGAAUAUGAUUCAUGAUAGCAGGGAUAGUGCACUAGAGAGAAGCCAAUGCCAGUGCUUGGUUGUUAGUUGUUACAAUCAUUGGAAUCUUAUUAGAGAUUUGAAUCACCAAAUCAAAUCAGUUGCAUUGGAUGAUAUUUGCCACCCCACAUAAUCAGUUGCAUCUGGAUGUACCCAAAAUCACAUAAAUUCUGGUAUUUCAGUCAGCAAUUUUAUUUUUUCAAAAUCUC